rnacentral:hammerhead_ribozyme from 1 species
AUCCUCCUGACGAGUCCCAAACGAGACGAAACGCGUGUCGAACUGGAU